UACAGAGGGUGCAAGCGUUAAUCGGAUUUACUGGGCGUAAAGCGUGUGUAGGUGGCUAUCUAAGUCGAUUGUGAAAGCCCUGGGCUCAACCUGGGAAUUGCAGUCGAUACUGGAAAGCUCGAGUUCGGUAGAGGGUGACGGAAUUCCCGGUGUAGCGGUGAAAUGCGUAGAUAUCUGGAGGAAUACCGGUGGCGAAGGCGGCAUCCUGGACCAUUACUGACGCUGAGGCGCGAAAGCUAGGGGAGCAAACGGG
rnacentral:rRNA from 1 species